rnacentral:sRNA from 1 species
AUGUACCACUCGUACACUCCGGUUCCUGUGCGCCGUCCGCACCCACCUGACGACUGCUGCCGCCAUGAUGCAACUCGUCGUCG